GAACAAUGUGGAAACUGUCACUUCUGAAACCUGUGUUUUGUGUUACCAGGGGAUCCUGAUUGCACGGCUGCCAAAAGAUGGUCCACCAGACUUGGCUGGUGUACAAGCAGGAGACAGAGUGGCUGAGGCAACCUUUGUUUCAGAGCCUGCUGUCCUUAAUGCUGGUCCUACUGAAGCUUCCCCCAAGGGCAGCCCCUCCCCAGCAGUCAACCAUGUCAUAACAAUACCUCGGAUAAUCCUCACGCGCCCAUCCACUUCUGACGAAGAUGCCGACCAGUUGCCCCCCGACCCUGAGGACUUUGAGCCCGAGGAGCCUGACAGCACAGAAGGCCAUGUCUAUUCAGACUGUCUGAGCAGUGCUUUCUAUCCUCCCUAAUAAAGAAAG
rnacentral:lncRNA from 1 species